rnacentral:rRNA from 1 species
AAUAUUGGACAAUGGGGGGAACCCUGAUCCAGCCAUGCCGCGUGUGUGAAGAAGGUCUUCGGAUUGUAAAGCACUUUAAGUUGGGAGGAAGAGUUGUAGGCUAACACCUUGCAAUUUUGACGUUACCAACAGAAUAAGCACCGGCUAACUCUGUGCCAGCAGCCGCGGUAAUACAGAGGGUGCAAGCGUUAAUCGGAAUUACUGGGCGUAAAGCGCGCGUAGGUGGGUCGUUAAGUUGGAAGUGAAAGCCCCGGGCUUAACCUGGGAAUUGCUUUCAAAACUGACGAGCUAGAGUACGGUAGAGGGUAGUGGAAUUUCCUGUGUAGCGGUGAAAUGCGUAGAUAUAGGAAGGAACAUCAGUGGCGAAGGCGACUACCUGGACUGAUACUGACGCUGAGGCACGAAAGCGUGGGGAGCGAACAGG